AAACAAAGGUGAUAGAAUUUGAAAUGAAGAUUCACACGCAACUGGUUUCAUAUUUUUUUGAAUUUUCUACGAUUUUCUAGGGAUUUUACAAGUCAGCAGCAUCACUUCACACGAAAUAUCAAGCACCCUUACAUACAGGUCCUCGAACUGUACUGUUCCUAUGGGUCUACACUUCGCAGAAAACACCCUGGGUUUGCCUUAAUUGCUGCACGAGGUCCCUUAUCUGCAACAAAAUAGAGGAGACGCAGGGAUUGAUUCCAUGGGGAAAAGA
rnacentral:lncRNA from 1 species